AUCGCGUCUCCCCCAAACCCACCCCGAGUGGAGGGGAAGGAGGAUGGUCUCCCGUGGCUCACCGGUCGCGGCUGGCCUAAAAUUGGAGCCCUCGGCAUCGGGAUGCCGCGGCGAUAGGUGGUGAACAAGGCCUCGGCCAAGCAAGCAACCCGUCGCGCGUCGCGGUGCCAAGGAUAGCUCGAAGGACCCUUUGACGUUGCCUUGUUGCAACCAAACCG
rnacentral:misc_RNA from 1 species